CCCGGAAGCUAAGACUCGCAGCCGCCCGGACACAUUCCGAACCCGGAAGCUAAGACUCGCAGCGCCGAUGGUACUGCAGGGGCGACCCUGUGGGAGAGUAGGACACCGCCGGAC
rnacentral:rRNA from 1 species